GACGAACGCUGGCGGCGUGCUUAACACAUGCAAGUCGAACGGUAAGGCCCCAGCUUGCUGGGGUACACGAGUGGCGAACGGGUGAGUAACACGUGGGUGACCUGCCCUGCACUUCGGGAUAAGCCUGGGAAACUGGGGCUAAUACCGGAUAGGACCAUGGUGUGGAUACUGUGGUGGAAAGAUUUUUCGGUGUGGGAUGGGCCCGCGGCCUAUCAGCUUGUUGGUGGGGUAAUGGCCUACCAAGGCGGCGACGGGUAGCCGGCCUGAGAGGGUGGACGGCCACAUUGGGACUGAGACACGGCCCAGACUCCUACGGGAGGCAGCAGUGGGGAAUAUUGCACAAUGGGCGGAAGCCUGAUGCAGCGACGCCGCGUGGGGGAUGACGGCCUUCGGGUUGUAAACUCCUUUCACCAUCGACGAAGGGUUUCUGACGGUAGAUGGAGAAGAAGCACCGGCUAACUACGUG
rnacentral:rRNA from 1 species